UAGAAGUCAAUCAGGGCUGCAUCCAAUUGAAAAAUUCAACCAAGAUAUGUCUCUAAUAGUAGCUGUUGCUACUCCUGAAAUAGUGUAUAGAGGUGUGGAUUAAUAAAUGAUUUUUAGCGGCCACAAGAGGAAUAAUGUUUAUCAGAAAAAAUGGAUUAACCUCGACUUUUUUUAAUGAGAGUUGCAAUAUUAUUCUUUUCCAAAAUACCUAUACAUGGGGUAGAUUAGUGGAAUAAUAUCAUUAGAUUUGCAAUAUGAUUCUUUUUCCAGUACACGUACAUAUUUAGAUUAUUGUUUCAAUUGCCUCAAAAAAAUUAUACUAUAAUGUUGAUGUCACUAUUUUUAUCUAAAAAUUCACGCCUUGUUUUGUCAAAGAUAGGUGUAAGCUAAUUUUCAAGCUAAACACGAUUCAAAUAUUUCUAUCGUUUGGGCUGCUUUCUUGUGUAAGACCCCUAAUGUUUUUUAAGCACACAUUAGAUACUCUGAUUAGAGUGUAAAGAAACAACUUGAAAUUCUUUGUGCGAGAUUAGGUAGUUCAAAGUAAUAGUAAAAUUGAAGAUUCUCUUUGUACAAGAACCAGAUGCAAGGAUGUACAUAUUAGAUGAAACUAAUGGCACUGCCAGAAAAUACCAAUUGUGUAUGGUAUAAAUUUUGAUUUCUUCCACCCUAUGCUUAUAUCCUGUUCUUUUUAUGAUCUGAAAAAUACUUGCAUAUUUUAAGGGUUGCGAAAUGUGAUGCACAGUUCAUAUGGAGUUGAAUACUUUUGUCGUUGCAAAAAUAUAUUUUAUAAGUCAAAGAGGCGACUAGAAGAUUCAAUGGAACCUUUUAAAAGCUCACUCUACAUUUCAGAGCUUUAAUAUUUAUAAGGAGAACUUUGGGCCUUUUGAAAAUUAGCAACAGGCUGAUUGUUGAGAGAAGGAAAGGGAAGGUAAGGCAAAAAAAUAAAAAUGGAAAAGGCACCUUGUCUUUGAAAACUCAAAGGUCAAGUAAGGGAAGCACAAGAUAAUUAAUGGCAAGGGCAAAAAAUAUAUAGAGAGUAAUAAAGGACAAAGAGAAGUUCUCAAGAUUCGAAGAUGCAGGAGUCAAGGAACUGUCAGGCCAAUUGAGUGCAUUUGACAAGAUGGAAUAAAUACUGAUUGUUGCAGGUAAGUUACUAAUUCAUUUGACAAAUUACAUAAAAGAGCUAAUUUCCUCUAAACUUUCCGUAGUAGCUUUAAUGGUGAUAAUUCAUGUCACCAAGACGGAUUGUCGAAGUAAAAUCCGCAUGAGGCUCAUAAAAGAUUGUUUCCUUAGUUUGUAGUUACUACUUGAAUAUGUAUGUUACUGUGUCAGUUGUGUAAGUCGUUUUGUAGGUCUGAUGUUUUAUAUGUUGUGUGAGAACUCUUUAAGUUUCAGCUAUAUGCAAUUCUUAUUUGUUUUUUGUAUUGAGUACAUUUGGUGCAAUGAGUUGCCACUGUUUACUAUGUCGAUCAUAGUAAAAUUAGCAUAUUCAUUCCAAUAUUCUUUGUUUUGAUGUAUCUAUCUAAUUUCAGUUUGUAUGAAGCUUUAGGACAUACAAAGAGAGUAAUGGUCCUAUGCGUAAACUUAUAAAAUGACAUAUUAAGAGUGCUUUUUCCUAUAUUGCAGCCUGCAAUUUUCAAUACUCAAAAAUUUUGUUAAUAGGUAGAAUUAAGUGCAGAAAAUCGAACAUAUAUUGUUAUAAUUUAUAUUUGUGACAUCGCAAAAUGUAUCCGAUAAUCCCAAUAUUUGCAAUCCCAAAAUCACUUAAAUGGUCAACGAUUUAAUUUUCAUUUGCAAACUUGUUGGUAGACUUCAAAUCAUAAUGCACCACUGGCUGUAAAUAGACAUUAUGGAGGCUAAAUUGGGUAUAUUAUUGUAUGUUUAGUGGUAGUACUUAAGUAGAACGAGUUACAUUAGAACGCAGACAUACUUAAGUAUCUAAUAGUUUUAGUUUCAUGCCUCAUUUGUUGUGCUAAGAAUUAGUAUCCAGUAAAUCAACUGCUUCAUCACUUUAAGAGGUGAACUGUUGCGAAUCACCUUUGAGAAGCGAGUGCUUUGGCAAAGCGAUGUUAAGCGUGAAUUAGUAUGGAACAUCUUUCCUUUAUAUUUUUAGCAUUUAAAAAGGUUUAUUUCUAAAAGAAAAGAAGUUUGACUUUAAAAUUUUACAUUUCACAUCUUCUCUGAUGAUUGAAUUUCAGGUAAACAUCUUUUUUAUCUUCUUCUUUUUUCUUCUACUUCUCCAUCUUGCUAUAUUUUCUUCUUCUUUCUUCUCCAGCGCUCUCUAUUCUCUGCUAGGCUUGUUUUUCUUUUCUUUCAUCUUCUACUUUCUUCAUCCUAAUUUCAAAUGUAACAUGUGAUUUUGAUCAAAGACAAUUCAGAAGAAAUUGAUCACAACAUACAAGAUGCUCUGUUAGUGUUAGAUUUAUAAAUAGUAUAUAUGUAUGUGUAAUUAGUACUUUCAUAUAUGUAAAUAUUCAACUACGUAAAUAUUCCACUACAACAUCCAACUGUAUGACGUUUGCAAAAUAUAUAGACAUUUUGCAGUUACUAUGUUUAAAAUAGUAAUAUUUUAAUUUACUUUA